ACGGAAUAAAUUCGGUUGGCUCGAAGUUUUUAGCAGAUAGAGUUUGAUCCUGGCUCAGGACGAACGCUGGCGGCGUGCCUAAUACAUGCAAGUCGAGCGAACUGAAGGGAGCUUGCUCCCGGAAGUUAGCGGCGGACGGGUGAGUAACACGUGGGUAACCUGCCUGUAAGACUGGGAUAACUCCGGGAAACCGGAGCUAAUACCGGAUAUUUUCUUGAACCGCAUGGUUCAAGAAUGAAAGACGGUUUCGGCUGUCACUUACAGAUGGACCCGCGGCGCAUUAGCUAGUUGGUGAGGUAACGGCUCACCAAGGCGACGAUGCGUAGCCGACCUGAGAGGGUGAUCGGCCACACUGGGACUGAGACACGGCCCAGACUCCUACGGGAGGCAGCAAUAGGGAAUCUUCCGCAAUGGACGAAAGUCUGACGGAGCAACGCCGCGUGAGUGAUGAAGGUUUUCGGAUCGUAAAGCUCUGUUGUUAGGGAAGAACAAGUACGAGAGUAACUGCUCGUACCUUGACGGUACCUAACCAGAAAGCCACGGCUAACUACGUGCCAGCAGCCGCGGUAAUACGUAGGUGGCAAGCGUUGUCCGGAAUUAUUGGGCGUAAAGGGCUCGCAGGCGGUUUCUUAAGUCUGAUGUGAAAGCCCCCGGCUCAACCGGGGAAGGUCAUUGGAAACUGGGGAACUUGAGUGCAGAAGAGGAGAGUGGAAUUCCACGUGUAGCGGUGAAAUGCGUAGAGAUGUGGAGGAACACCAGUGGCGAAGGCGACUCUCUGGUCUGUAACUGACGCUGAGGAGCGAAAGCGUGGGGAGCGAACAGGAUUAGAUACCCUGGUAGUCCACGCCGUAAACGAUGAGUGCUAAGUGUUAGGGGGUUUCCGCCCCUUAGUGCUGCAGCUAACGCAUUAAGCACUCCGCCUGGGGAGUACGGUCGCAAGACUGAAACUCAAAGGAAUUGACGGGGGCCCGCACAAGCGGUGGAGCAUGUGGUUUAAUUCGAAGCAACGCGAAGAACCUUACCAGGUCUUGACAUCCUCUGACAACCCUAGAGAUAGGGCUUUCCCUUCGGGGACAGAGUGACAGGUGGUGCAUGGUUGUCGUCAGCUCGUGUCGUGAGAUGUUGGGUUAAGUCCCGCAACGAGCGCAACCCUUGAUCUUAGUUGCCAGCAUUCAGUUGGGCACUCUAAGGUGACUGCCGGUGACAAACCGGAGGAAGGUGGGGAUGACGUCAAAUCAUCAUCCCCUUAUGACCUGGGCUACACACGUGCUACAAUGGACAGAACAAAGGGCUGCGAGACCGCAAGGUUUAGCCAAUCCCACAAAUCUGUUCUCAGUUCGGAUCGCAGUCUGCAACUCGACUGCGUGAAGCUGGAAUCGCUAGUAAUCGCGGAUCAGCAUGCCGCGGUGAAUACGUUCCCGGGCCUUGUACACACCGCCCGUCACACCACGAGAGUUUGCAACACCCGAAGUCGGUGAGGUAACCUUUAUGGAGCCAGCCGCCGAAGGUGGGGUAGAUGAUUGGGGUGAAGUCGUAACAAGGUAACCGUAAUCUUCUAGAAGACUCCACAAAUUUAACCGGGG
rnacentral:rRNA from 2 species